UUAUAAAUCUUUCACUUUUCUACUUGCUCCAUAAGGCCGAAAGAUCCGGCAAAAGUGCAACAAUGAAAUCCGGCCGAACUCCUCGGGAGGUGUACCCUAAAACAGCUUCUGCAAGAACCCGAAGCUACUUUCGGUCUUUUAGGAGUUUCCAGCUCACAGCACACAUGGGAUGUCACACAAAAUGAAUAAAAUCACAAACUCGGA